rnacentral:misc_RNA from 1 species
CACAAAUCAAGCCCUGCUUGGUAUUGGGUGAAGCCCUCCGGGGCCCGCCUUAAACCCUUCGGCGUCGCCGUCCGUCUUCGAGCGCAGCGAGAUAACUUUCCAGCGUUUUCGAGAUGGGCCACGUCUGCCGCAUAACACCUUUUUUUUUCUAUCAA